rnacentral:rRNA from 1 species
AUGAACGCUAGCUACAGGCUUAACACAUGCAAGUCGAGGGGCAGCAUUUCAUUUUGCUUGCAAAGUGAAGAUGGCGACCGGCGCACGGGUGAGUAACACGUAUCCAACCUGCCGAUAACUCGGGGAUAGCCUUUCGAAAGAAAGAUUAAUAUCCGAUGGUAUAUCAAUCCCGCAUGAGAUUGAUAUUAAAGAAUUUCGGUUAUCGAUGGGGAUGCGUUCCAUUAGUUUGUUGGCGGGGUAACGGCCCACCAAGACUACGAUGGAUAGGGGUUCUGAGAGGAAGGUCCCCCACAUUGGAACUGAGACACGGUCCAAACUCCUACGGGAGGCAGCAGUGAGGAAUAUUGGUCAAUGGACGUAAGUCUGAACCAGCCAAGUAGCGUGAAGGAUGACUGCCCUAUGGGUUGUAAACUUCUUUUAUAUGGGAAUAAAGUAUUCCACGUGUGGAAUUUUGUAUGUACCAUAUGAAUAAGGAUCGGCUAACUCCGUGCCAGCAGCCGCGGUAAUACGGAGGAUCCGAGCGUUAUCCGGAUUUAUUGGGUUUAAAGGGAGCGUAGGUGGAUUGUUAAGUCAGUUGUGAAAGUUUGCGGCUCAACCGUAAAAUUGCAGUUGAAACUGGCAGUCUUGAGUACAGUAGAGGUGGGCGGAAUUCGUGGUGUAGCGGUGAAAUGCUUAGAUAUCACGAAGAACUCCGAUUGCGAAGGCAGCUCACUAGACUGUCACUGACACUGAUGCUCGAAAGUGUGGGUAUCAAACAGGAUUAGAUACCCUGGUAGUCCACACAGUAAACGAUGAAUACUCGCUGUUUGCGAUAUACAGUAAGCGGCCAAGCGAAAGCAUUAAGUAUUCCACCUGGGGAGUACGCCGGCAACGGUGAAACUCAAAGGAAUUGACGGGGGCCCGCACAAGCAGUGGAUUAUGUGGUUUAAUUCGACGCAACGCGAAGAACCUUACCAGGUCUUGACAUCAAGUGACCGCCUAAGAGAUUAGGCUUUCCCUUCGGGGACACAAAGACAGGUGGUGCAUGGUUGUCGUCAGCUCGUGCCGUGAGGUGUCGGCUUAAGUGCCAUAACGAGCGCAACCCUUAUCUUCAGUUACUAACAGGUCAUGCUGAGGACUCUGGAGAGACUGCCGUCGUAAGAUGUGAGGAAGGUGGGGAUGACGUCAAAUCAGCACGGCCCUUACGUCCGGGGCUACACACGUGUUACAAUGGGGGGUACAGAAGGCAGCUACCUGGUGACAGGAUGCUAAUCCCAAAAACCUCUCUCAGUUCGGAUCGAAGUCUGCAACCCGACUUCGUGAAGCUGGAUUCGCUAGUAAUCGCGCAUCAGCCAUGGCGCGGUGAAUACGUUCCCGGGCCUUGUACACACCGCCCGUCAAGCCAUGAAAGCCGGGGGUACCUGAAGUACGUAACCGCAAGGAGCGUCCUAGGGUAAAACUGGUAAUUGGGGCU